UCGACGAUACUAUUAGUACACUACACUAUAUAUCUUUUUCGAUCUUCUUCACCAAAAAAUGAUAAUACUAAAUAAAUAUAUAUGUAUAUACAUUUCCACUUACAAAUUAUUUUACCAAUUCCUUCUAGUGUCUGAUUUUGGAACAAAACAAAAAAAAACACAAAGCUAUAUCUCUCAAAAAAAAAAAAAAACUAUCCGAUUAACAAUAUUCGUAAUUCGAGGUAAAGGAAAGAUGGGUUUAUGAUUUUAUUUGUGUUUUUUUAUUUAUUUAUAGUGGUUGUGUUAUUUAACAAAAUGUCAAUUAUUGUGGUCGUUUUAACCAUAACUUUACUCCGAUUGAAUAAUUUCUUUGAUAAGAAGGUACUACGAUAUGUUUGACCAAAACAAUAUAAUACUAUAUAUA
rnacentral:lncRNA from 1 species